UACGAAGGGGGCUAGCGUUGUUCGGAUUUACUGGGCGUAAAGCGCACGUAGGCGGAUCGUUAAGUCGGGGGUGAAAUCCUGGAGCUCAACUCCAGAACUGCCUUCGAUACUGGCGAUCUUGAGUCCGGAAGAGGUGAGUGGAACUCCUAGUGUAGAGGUGGAAUUCGUAGAUAUUAGGAAGAACACCAGUGGCGAAGGCGGCUCACUGGUCCAUUACUGACGCUGAGGUGCGAAAGCGUGGGGAGCAAACAGG
rnacentral:rRNA from 1 species